rnacentral:lncRNA from 1 species
UUCAAGUGUUGGCUUUCCAUCCUUGUCCAUGACCAUAGGGGGGUCCCAUCCUUUCAGAACAGCCUUCCAAGUUUUGCUAUCCAUAGAUUUUAGGAAAGCAAUCAUACGUGAUUUCCAAUAAUCAUAGUUGGAGACACCAACUAGAAGCGGUGGUCUGCUUACAAGCCCUCCUUCUUUUUCCAUGUUGCCAGACAUUCUCCCUGGAGCUCACCCUAUAACCAGAAAGGGUGCCCGCUCUGAUGCCAAUUGAAAUCUGGCACGCAGUGAACACAAUGCUGCACAAGAUGCUAUAGCACACGUUGCAGCAAGACAGUCGCAGAACACAGUAAAUAAAUAAAUAAAUUGCAGAACAAUAAAUAAGAC